rnacentral:rRNA from 1 species
UACGGAGGGUGCGAGCGUUGUUCGGAAUUACUGGGCGUAAAGGGCGCGUAGGCGGUCCUUCAAGUCAGGCGUGAAAGCCCCGGGCUCAACCUGGGAACCGCGCUUGAGACUGGCGGGCUAGAGUUCGGGAGAGGAUGGUGGAAUUCCCAGUGUAGAGGUGAAAUUCGUAGAUAUUGGGAAGAACACCGAUGGCGAAGGCAGCCAUCUGGACCGACACUGACGCUGAGGCGCGAAAGCGUGGGGAGCAAACAGG